AUGGGCCACCGCGGCGCCGGCGAGCAGGAGCCGGAGACGGAGGAGGUGCAUGAGUCCGACUUCCUGAUCCUCUGCAUCGGCAGUUUCAGCGGCGUGCCCAACAUCCCAGCGGUGUCCCCAGGCCCGGAGGCGUUCCGCGGGCGGGUGCUCCACUGCAUGGAGCUCUCCCACAUGGCCGACGAGGACGCCGCCGCGCUGGUUAAGGGGAAGCGCAUCACCGUCGUGGGGUCCGGCAAGUCGGCCUUCGAGAUCGCCGCCGAGUGCGCCGAUGCCAAUGGCGCGGGAACGCCGUGCACGAUGCUGUGCCAGAACCCUCAUUGGCUGCUACCAUCGGGUACAUCUACAUGA
rnacentral:rRNA from 1 species